UACGGAGGGGGCUAGCGUUGUUCGGAAUUACUGGGCGUAAAGCGCACGUAGGCGGCUUUGUAAGUUAGAGGUGAAAGCCCAGGGCUUAACCCUGGAAUUGCCUUUAAGACUGCAUCGCUAGAAUCGUGGAGAGGUGAGUGGAAUUCCGAGUGUAGAGGUGAAAUGCGUAGAGAUCCGGAGGAACACCAAAGGCGAAGGCAGUGUCCUGGGGAGUACCUGACGCUCAGGUGCGAAAGCGUGGGGAGCAAACAGG
rnacentral:rRNA from 1 species